rnacentral:rRNA from 1 species
UACGAAGGGGGCUAGCGUUGCUCGGAAUCACUGGGCGUAAAGGGUGCGUAGGCGGGUCUUUAAGUCAGGGGUGAAAUCCUGGAGCUCAACUCCAGAACUGCCUUUGAUACUGAAGAUCUUGAGUUCGGGAGAGGUGAGUGGAACUGCGAGUGUAGAGGUGAAAUUCGUAGAUAUUCGCAAGAACACCAGUGGCGAAGGCGGCUCACUGGCCCGAUACUGACGCUGAGGCACGAAAGCGUGGGGAGCAAACAGGGAUUAAGAAA